UUCAUUCUCGUCCAGCAGUUAGGAUAUCUAGCUUUUACCUAGGAGACACGGGUUCGAUUCCCGGCAAUGGAA
rnacentral:tRNA from 1 species